CAGGGUGUUGGGGGGUUCCACCCUCAGUGCUGAAGUUAACACAUUAAGCACUCCGCCUGGGGAGUACGACCGCAAGGUUGAAACUCAAAGGAAUUGACGGGGGCCCGCACAAGCAGUGGAGCAUGUGGUUUAAUUCGAAGCAACGCGAAGAACCUUACCAGGUCUUGACAUCCUUUGACCACUCUAGAGAUAGAGCUUUCCCCUUCGGGGGACAAAGUGACAGGUGGUGCAUGGUUGUCGUCAGCUCGUGUCGUGAGAUGUUGGGUUAAGUCCCGCAACGAGCGCAACCCUUGACCUUAGUUGCCAGCAUUCAGUUGGGCACUCUAAGGUGACUGCCGGUGACAAACCGGAGGAAGGUGGGGAUGACGUCAAAUCAUCAUGCCCCUUAUGACCUGGGCUACACACGUGCUACAAUGGAUGAUACAAAGGGUUGCGAAGCCGCGAGGCCAAGCCAAUCCCAAAAAGUCAUUCUCAGUUCGGAUUGUAGGCUGCAACUCGCCUACAUGAAGCCGGAAUUGCUAGUAAUCGCGGAUCAGCAUGCCGCGGUGAAUACGUUCCCGGGCCUUGUACACACCGCCCGUCACACCACGAGAGUUUGUAACACCCGAAGUCGGUGGGGUAACCCUUUUGGGAGCCAGCCGCCGAAGGUGGGACAGAUGAUUGGGGUGAAGUCGUAACAAGGUAACCGUAAGGGGACCCGUACCCUAAUUGGAAAGAACAU
rnacentral:rRNA from 1 species